rnacentral:tRNA from 1 species
GGGAGUGUAGCUCAGUGGUAGAUCGUCCGCUUUGCAUUCGGAAUUUCCAGGGUUCGAAUCCCUGCUCUUAAA